rnacentral:rRNA from 1 species
CGCUUGUCCAGAUAGCCAUGCAUGUCUAAGUAUAAGUGUUGUACAGCGAAACUGCGAAUGGCUCAUUAAAACAGUUAUAGUUUAUUUGACAAUCGAAUUUACAUGGAUAACCGUGGUAAUUCUAGAGCUAAUACAUGCUGGUGUGCCCGACUUUUCGGAAGGGCGGUAUUUAUUAGAUAACAAGCCAAUAUUCCUCUGGUCUAUUGUGGUGACUCAUAAUAACUGAUCGAAUCGCAAGGCCUAUGGCCGCGAUAAGUCAUUCAAGUUUCUGCCCCAUCAGCUUUCGAUGGUAGUGUAUUGGACUACCAUGGCGUUUACGGGUAACGGAGGAUUAGGGUUCGAUUCCGGAGAGGGAGCCUGAGAAACGGCUACCACAUCUAAGGAAGGCAGCAGGCGCGUAAAUUACCCAAUCCUGAUUCAGGGAGGUAGUGACAAGAAAUAACGGACCGAGGCCUUCGGGCUUCGGGAUUGCAAUGAGCCGAAUUUACACCCCUUAGCGA